ACAACAAAACGAGGUCAGAUUCCAUCCGUCCUGGUCUUACUGUUCUUCUGAUAUAUUUCAUCUAGCUGCGUUUUUUUUUUCCCCUCGAGGAUUCUUUUAUCGGUUCUUUUUAGGUUUUCGAAUUGGCUCGAUCUUUUGAGAACUGAACAAAGGGAAGGAAGUUAGAUUCCCUUUCCUUUUCCAUCUUCUGAUCUUUUUCUGCCGAUCUCUCGCUCC
rnacentral:lncRNA from 1 species